rnacentral:rRNA from 1 species
AGUGAACGCUGGCGGUAGGCCUAACACAUGCAAGUCGAACGGCAGCACAGUAAGAGCUUGCUCUUACGGGUGGCGAGUGGCGGACGGGUGAGGAAUACAUCGGAAUCUACUUUUUCGUGGGGGAUAACGUAGGGAAACUUACGCUAAUACCGCAUACGACCUACGGGUGAAAGCAGGGGAUCUUCGGACCUUGCGCGAUUGAAUGAGCCGAUGUCGGAUUAGCUAGUUGGCGGGGUAAAGGCCCACCAAGGCGACGAUCCGUAGCCGGUCUGAGAGGAUGAUCGGCCGCACUGGAACGGAAACACGGUCCAGGGUCCUGCGGGAGGCAGCAGUGGGGAAUAUUGGACAAUGGGCGCAAGCCUGAUCCAGCCAUACCGCGUGGGUGAAGAAGGCCUUCGGGUUGUAAAGCCCUUUUGUUGGGAAAGAAAAGCAGCAGGUUAAUACCCCGCUGUUCUGACGGUACCCAAAGAAUAAGCACCGGCUAACUUCGUG